rnacentral:rRNA from 1 species
UACAGAGGGUGCGAGCGUUGUUCGGAAUUACUGGGCGUAAAGCGCGCGCAGGCGGUCCUUUAAGUCUACCCGUGAAAUGCCGGAGCUCAACUCCGUGCACGCCGGGGGAUACUGGAGGACUGGAGACGAGUAGAGGCAAGCGGAAUUCCGGGUGUAGCGGUGAAAUGCGUAGAGAUCAGGAAGAACACCGGUGGCGAAAGCGCUCUGCUAGGCCGCAACUGACACUCAUGGACGAAAGCUAGGGGAGCGAAUGGG